GACGAACCGUGCGAACGUUGUUCGGAAUCACUGGGCUUAAAGGGCGCGUAGGCGGGCUGUCAAGUCUGGGGUGAAAUCCCGCGGCUCAACCGUGGAACUGCCUCAGAUACUGACGGCCUCGAGGGAGAUAGGGGCGAGCGGAACUGUGAGUGGAGCGGUGAAAUGCGUUGAUAUUCACAGGAACUCCGGUGGCGAAGGCGGCUCGCUGGAUCUCUUCUGACGCUGAGGCGCGAAAGCCAGGGGAGCAAACGGG
rnacentral:rRNA from 2 species